AGCGAACGCUGGCGGCAGGCCUAACACAUGCAAGUCGAACGAAGCCUUCGGGCUUAGUGGCGGACGGGUGAGUAACACGUGGGAACGUACCUUUUGGUUCGGAAUAACGCAGAGAAAUUUGCGCUAAUACCGAAUGAGCCCUUAGGGGGAAAGAUUUAUCGCCGAAAGAGCGGCCCGCGUUAGAUUAGCUAGUUGGUGAGGUAAAGGCUCACCAAGGCUACGAUCUAUAGCUGGUCUGAGAGGAUGAUCAGCCACACUGGGACUGAGACACGGCCCAGACUCCUACGGGAGGCAGCAGUGGGGAAUCUUGCGCAAUGGGCGAAAGCCUGACGCAGCCAUGCCGCGUGAAUGAUGAAGGUCUUAGGAUUGUAAAAUUCUUUUACCAGGGACGAUAAUGACGGUACCUGAAGAAAAAGCCCCGGCUAACUUCGUGCCAGCCGCCGCGGUAACAC
rnacentral:rRNA from 1 species